UGGGGAAUAUUGGACAAUGGGCGCAAGCCUGAUCCAGCCAUGCCGCGUGAGUGAUGAAGGUCUUAGGAUUGUAAAGCUCUUUCACCGGGGACGAUAAUGACGGUACCCGGAGAAGAAGCCCCGGCUAACUUCGUGCCAGCAGCCGCGGUAAUACGAAGGGGGCUAGCGUUGUUCGGAAUUACUGGGCGUAAAGCGCACGUAGGCGGACUUUUAAGUCAGGGGUGAAAUCCCGGGGCUCAACCCCGGAACUGCCUUUGAUACUGGAAGUCUUGAGUGUGGUAGAGGUGAGUGGAAUUGCGAGUGUAGAGGUGAAAUUCGUAGAUAUUCGCAGGAACACCAGUGGCGAAGGCGGCUCACUGGACCACAACUGACGCUGAGGUGCGAAAGCGUGGGGAGCAAACAGG
rnacentral:rRNA from 1 species